rnacentral:rRNA from 1 species
AUAUUAAUAAGCGGAGGAAAAGAAACUAACAAGGAUUCCCUGAGUAAUGGCGAAUGAAAGGGGAACAGCUCAAGAUUGAAUCGGGUGUUCCUAACGGACACUUCGAGUUAUAAUCUGAAGAAUGUUUGUUCAUGAACAACGUGGACUCGGGCAUAAACCUUUGAAAUAAAGGUGUUCAUAUAGGGUGAGAGUCCGCCUAAAGUUAAAUACCAGCCAGAGACCGAUAGCGCACAAGUA